rnacentral:tRNA from 2 species
GCCGGAAUAGCUCAGUUGGUAGAGCAGAGGACUGAAAANC